UACAGAGGUCUCGAGCGUUGUUCGGAUUCAUUGGGCGUAAAGGGCGCGUAGGCGGCGGGGUAAGUCUGGUGUGAAAUCUCGGAGCUCAACUCCGAAAUUGCACUGGAUACUGCUCUGCUAGAGGGCUGGAGAGGAGACCGGAAUUCACGGUGUAGCAGUGAAAUGCGUAGAUAUCGUGAGGAAGACCAGUGGCGAAGGCGGAUCUCUGGACAGCUCCUGACGCUGAGGCGCGAAGGCUAGGGGAGCAAACGGG
rnacentral:rRNA from 1 species